GACGAACGCUGGCGGCGUGCUUAACACAUGCAAGUCGAACGGAAAGGCCCUGCUAUUGUGGGGUGCUCGAGUGGCGAACGGGUGAGUAACACGUGAGCAACCUGCCCUUGACUUUGGGAUAACUUCAGGAAACUGGGGCUAAUCCCGGAUAGCAGCUCCUGCUGCAUGGUGGGGGUUGGAUAGUUUCGGCGGUUGGGGAUGGACGCGCGGCUUAUCAGCUUGUUGGUGGGGUAGUGGCUUACCAAGGCUUUGACGGGUAGCCGGCCUGAGAGGGUGACCGGCCACAUUGGGACUGAGAUACGGCCCAGACUCCUACGGGAGGCAGCAGUGGGGAAUAUUGCACAAUGGGCGGAAGCCUGAUGCAGCAACGCCGCGUGCGGGAUGACGGCCUUCGGGUUGUAAACCGCUUUCGCCUGUGACGAAGCGUGAGUGACGGUAAUGGGUGAAGAAGCACCGGCUAACUACGUG
rnacentral:rRNA from 1 species